AUUACAAAUUUAUAAAAUGUUAAAACUAGGUUGUGCACAUUGUGUUUUACAUUUUGAGGUAAAGAUGAUAUUCUAAGGAAAUCAAGUCAGCCAGCCCAGGUGUCUGAAACAUUAACCUUUUGUCUUUAUGUACUUCUGACAAUUGUGUAGAGACCUAAGUUAAAGGUGAAAACUAAGCUCAAGGCACAUCCGUGCCUUUGUCUCUAUGAUAAUGGGAAGGUAUGGGUGACACUGUCAGGCUGAUUGGAUUAGUAUCCAUGCAUUUGAAUGACACUGUUAUGCUGAUGAGAUCAGGGCUGGGGUAACCAGCUGAUUCCUGUAGUGCAUUUGCAUGCUUGUCUCCACCUUCAUGUAUCAAUCCUCCUUGAAAUGUAUAAAACUCUAAUGUAUCACAGCCUUAGUUAGACUUGAUGACUGCAGCGACCAACCAGCGCGUUCUCAAUAAAGAAUCCUGCUGAAGAGAAUCCAAGUCUCCUGGUCUUCACUGGAAAAAGUUUCCAACAGAUGGUGCCAUGACCCGGAUAGAGCUACCUCACCAGACAUCACUCCAGACUGAAUCUUUUCAGCUCAACCAUGAUUUGACAUGAGUGUGUCCCUUCACCACUACCUCCUCACCAUCAUCUAAGUGCAAAGCAUCAUCACGGACACCCUUGAGAGAUCAUCAUGAAGGACAAGAGACUCACCCUCUAGACAACUCCUCAGCACUGGCAGAGAAGAAUACACCCGACAGAAGACUUCAGAGACGUUGGAGUUUCACUGCUAAACUCUAAACCUGGAUCCAGUUGCAAUGAGCAAGCUAUUUGCAUUAGUGACUAUCUUAAGUAUCUCAAAUGCAUUAGACUCCAAAAGAUAUAUAUAUAUAUGAAUAAAUUUGUAUUUUGUGAGAGUUAUUAGAACUCUCAAAGGGGGAAUUGUUGGAUUACAAAUUUAUAAAAUGUUAAAACUAGGUUGUGCACAUUGUGUUUUACAUUUUGAGGUAAAGAUGAUAUUCUAAGGAAAUCAAGUCAGCCAGCCCAGGUGUCUGAAACAUUAACCUUUUGUCUUUAUGUACUUCUGACAAUUGUGUAGAGACCUAAGUUAAAGGUGAAAACUAAGCUCAAGGCACAUCCGUGCCUUUGUCUCUAUGAUAAUGGGAAGGUAUGGGUGACACUGUCAGGCUGAUUGGAUUAGUAUCCAUGCAUUUGAAUGACACUGUUAUGCUGAUGAGAUCAGGGCUGGGGUAACCAGCUGAUUCCUGUAGUGCAUUUGCAUGCUUGUCUCCACCUUCAUGUAUCAAUCUUCCUUGAAAUGUAUAAAACUCUAAUGUAUCACAGCCUUAGUUAGACUUGAUGACUGCAGUGACCGACCAGCGCGUUCUCAAUAAAGAAUCCUGCUGAAGAGAA